UUACCUCACUCAUAAUGGUUUCUUUUAGUUCCAUCCAUUUGCAUGGGAAUUUCAAGAUUUUUUUCCACUGAGUAGUACACCAUUUUGUUACUACAUUUUUUUUUAUCCAUUCUUCAGUUCAGGUGCAUCCAGUUUACUUCCAGUUUCUGGCUGUUAUAAAUAAUACUGCUAUGUGUAGGGGAAGCUGUAGCCACGCCUUCUUAGGGGCUGGCUACAAGAGUACCUGAGAGCUUGUGAGGGCGUGGUCAGAGUGAGUAGGGGGACUGCGUUUUCGGUUUCGGUUUCUCUUUGCGUCUUGCUGUACAGACUACCACCGGCUGGCUGGUCCGCUCUGUAAGUAAGGCUUUUCCCUAUUAAAUACCCUUAUAUUUCUACCUGACUCCGUACUGGUAAUUUCUUACUAUAUCUGGUGUCAGAAGCGGGAUAUUGGAAACCCACACCCCAUUUGGGACAGGCUGUGGGUUCCAUCGGGCCCGCCGCCUAGGCCGGGAAAGCACCCACUCUCCACAGGCGUUCCCGGCUAGCAGCCGACCCACUGCUAGAGUCCAUCCACCCAGCUCAGAGACAGUUUCUAGCUGCCUAGAGUCCAGAUAAGCGCAGCCGCUUUUGUGACCUCUCUCCACUGCUGACCGACUGCUGCCAAACGCCUCGGAAUAACUGAACGCCUGUGCUACCUGCUGGUCAAAUAUAUUUACUGCAUCUGGAGUAGAAAUCAGGACAAACAGCUGCAGAAAGACACUGGACUACGGAAAAAACUGCUGAACUCAAUCAGCCAGUAUACUUCAAAGAUGUACUAACCUCUGCAUGGAAACCAGGACAUGUAUUACGUUGGGGUAGGGGUUUUGCAUUGGUUUCUACAGGAG
rnacentral:lncRNA from 1 species